rnacentral:rRNA from 1 species
AUGGAUUAUAUGAAGCAUUUGACAAAGGUGAAAAUAUGGUAUGAGUCUUACGCCGAUGCCAGCAGCACAAGUACUCUCUCAAAGGCCAUCAAGGGGUUCAUCGAGAGAGGCACCAAUUCUACAACUUCAGUUGCACUCUCACUCAUUCUCAGUGGUGAAGGGUCUCAAGACUUGCUGAAUUUCUCAUUGGAAAAUGACAAGUUCUAUCUUAGGUCACUCAAGCUACAAGGGGGCAAUAUAUUCAGCCUCCCUCCCUUUGUUACCAUGCUGGUUGGUUUUAAUAAACUGUGCCUUUCAUUCCCUCAUCAGCUGAGUAGUGAUAUUAUUGCUGCCCUGAGCGAAAUGCGCAGCCUGACACAGCUGAAGCUGACUGCAACUCAACUGGAGAAGCACAUCAUCGGACAAGGUGAAUUCAGAAUCCUGCAACACCUAAGCAUCACGGUGGACGUGAUGACUGAGCUGGAAAUCCAAGAUGGAGCUCUGUCUUGCCUCAAGUCACUCCGGCUGCUAUGUAAAGAUCUAGAUGGCUUUUCCGGCACAUCAGCGAUCCAGUACUUUAAACAACUUGAGGAGAUUGCUCUUCAUCGUGAAGUGGGUGGUGACACAAAACAGAAAUGGAAAGAAGCAGCAAGGAAACACCCGAGAUGUCCCAAGAUCUUGUUUGUCUAG